UACGGGGGGGGUAAGCGUUGUUCGGAAUUACUGGGCGUAAAGGGCUCGUAGGCGGCCAACUAAGUCAGACGUGAAAUCCCUCAGCUUAACUGGGGAACUGCGUCUGAUACUGGAUGGCUUGGAUCCGGGAGAGGGAUGCGGAAUUCCAGGUGUAGCGGUGAAAUGCGUAGAUAUCGGGAGGAACAUCUGUGGCGAAGGCGACACCCUGGACCAGCACUGACACUGAGGCACGAAAGCGUGGGGAGCAAACAGG
rnacentral:rRNA from 1 species